rnacentral:tRNA from 1 species
GGGCCUAUAGCUCAGUUGGUUAGAGCACCUGACUCAUAAUCAGGGGGUCCCUGGUUCAAGCCCAGGUGGGCCCACCC